rnacentral:lncRNA from 1 species
GUCUAAGUGACUAAUGGGUGGAUUGUGUACACAAUGUGGAUAGUUUGGAUAAAGGAGUGACACACAUCUUGGGCAAGAUGGAGUAGCUUCCUGAUGAGCAGUGGAGAAAUCAGUGGUAGCCUACAUCACACUACAAUCUCUUUACCAAUAACCUCACCCUGUGUUGUCAUGAAGAUGUCUCAUCAGCUCAUAAUAUCACAAGAAGAUAUGCCUGAUUGGGGCAAGUGAAUCUCCAGGCAACUGACCCUCAUGCUGGGGAAGAGGAGACCACAGUGCCAGACAGUUGCAUGCAUGCAGCUUGCACCAUUGGAUCUGCUGGAUCAUCUACACAAUGGGCUGGACCUAUUGCAGAGCUUUCUCCUUUUCUGAGCCCUACACAAAACUAAAGACUGUUCCAGUCAUUCAGCUUCUAGUGUGGACUCUUCGACUUUGCAGCAAACACCCUUCAGCUUCUGACCUGGACUCACAUGAACUCACUGAGCUCCAGAACUUCAACCUUUGACUGGACAUUUUGGCUCUCCAGCAGGCAGAUGGCCUUUUGCAUUAUUUCACCUCUGAUUCUGCAGACUGACUACCACUUGCCUGCUCUGCUCCCUCUCUGUCUGAGCUAUCCUGCCCAAUCUUCCCCCAGCAGUGGAAAGGGCAGUGAGUAGAUUACGGGUGUGUUUUACAAGAUUAAACUAUCAAAGAGGAAUUUCUAUGCACCAAAUGCUGAAAGGAAGUUUGAAACCAAUCAUUUGGAGAACCUCAUAUAUAAAUAUUAGAAAAAUGGGAUAUAAGGAUCAAAAGGGAUCAAAGGAAUAAAUAGAAUUGACACUUUCAUUUGGGCUGGCUUCAUUUUAAGUGCUUAUCAGCUUUAAGCCACUGUACUGGACAUCCCAAGUCUUGAAGGAUAUUGUUCUAAAAGUGUGUACCUUGAACAACAACUGAAGAGUGACACUUCUGGAAACUGGUAAUCAAAAUUAGAUGAAGGACCUGUAAUGCUUAGAAAGGACCUGAGUAUUAUACUUGAAAGUGGAAAAGGCUGUGACAUGAAGAAAGGAGUCUAUCCAACUUCAUUACCAGGGGGGCAGAUGCAGGAUUAGCAUAAAGUGGAACUUUCUAGUAAUUACAGAUGUAAAACAAUGUGGUUAACUUUAAUUCGAGCAACAUGUAUUGAGCUCCAUGCAAGAGACCCUGUUAGACAUCAAAGUUCCUAUGAUAAAUAAAC